AUGGAUGGGAAGACUUGCCCAGUGUAUUGACUGUUUUGUCUUUGAAAUGUAGCCAUCAAUUAUGAUGGCCUCUUGUGCAGAAGAAGCCAGAUUUAUGACUACGACUGGAGAGGAGGGGUACAAGCUUUUAUUGAGCUUGGACUUGGGGCCAGAAAUGGAUACAAAGAAAAAGAGCAAGAUAUGAUCACUACUGAUUCUGAGUGGUGCUUCUUUGACAGCCAUGUUGCAGAUAAACAAGAGAUUUAGAAGUUCCCACUCUCAAAACUGUUUAAGUUCUAAUUGGGAAGGCAGAGUAUGAUAACUUGAUCACUUGUCUGAACUAUCAAUACACAGUUUUCCUUCUGGAAAAAGAAAUGUAAUACACUGCAAAGGUAUA